rnacentral:lncRNA from 1 species
UGCCUCUGCCCCGAGCGCCCCGCGCGGCGGGAGGCCUCCUCUCUGCGGCCCCUUUUUCCGGCCUCAUCCGGCUCCGGUGAGUCAGCGCUGAGCAGCCGGGGCGGGCGUGGCUGGGAGUGGGCCGUGGAAGGGGAGGCUCCGCCCGCAGAGGCCGCCGAGGAGGCCGCGUGGUCCCAGGUGGUAGCUACACACAGGGGCAAGAAGUCCUCUCCAGAGGGACAGUGCCUCUGGGACAGCAGACAUCACUGAGGCUUCAGUCCCAGCCCAGAGGACCCCAGCCCACAUGGGAUGCUGCUCAGGAGGCCCAUCCCUGGAGAGACAGCCAUCUUUUCCUUUAUUCUGCCUUCCAAGCUGUAUCUAGAACCUACUGGGGACUCCUUUCUUCAGGACGCACAUCUGAGCAUGUCCUUGCUCCCAUCUGCCCAUUGCUCGCCGCCUCCCUCCAUCCAGUCAUCCAUUAAGCAUCGAAUAUGGCUGCUGGAGAGCACCCAAGGGCUCUCUUACAGGACUGUCACUACAGAUAUUUUCUGGCAAGUUUCUAUACGAAGUAUGAUCCGACUCACUUCAUCCUAAACACAGCUUCUCUCCAGAGUGUGCUAAUUCCUAAAAUGCCACAGCAACAUGGUGAUCGGAUCUUUGGAAUUAAUAAGUAUUGAAUUGUUUUGAAACAGAAAAAAUUUUUAUAGCUACUGAGUUUUCUGUAAGGAAGGAGUGGUUAGUAAACUGCACUGCUUCUGUGAUAAUAUGAAAUGAGAAGUAUUUACAUUGGAGGGCCAGUUGCUGGUUCUUUAUAAACUGUUUUGAAGUGCAGUAUUUACUGAAAAAUGCAUAUGGUAUCUUUCUGAAGAGAGGCUUUAUAGGCAAGCUGGGCAGGUCCAGCUUAUAAGUUAAAUCACUGUAAAGUGAGGGUACAAUAGAUAAAUCUGAGGAAAUAAGAGAUUUAUAAGACACUAAGACCAGCUUAGUUUAUAAUGAGGAGGAGUUCUGUUAGGAGAAGAAAAUUUCCAAUCAUUCAGUCAGUUUAAGCAGAUAUACAUGUAAACCAGAAUCAUCUCUUUACAAGUUUAUUAUAAUUUUUAUUACCAUGUAUAUUCCUCUUAUGUUAUUUAAGAGGAUAUUUCCCUCUUGCUUUAUAUAGCCCAAUCCCUACGUUAUGAUUAUACUUUUUUGCUUUUACUGGUUCAACAUUAUAUUGAUGGAUGAGGUCAUUUUUACAUGUAUUAAGUUACUGAGUUCAUGAAGGCCCACCUUCAUGACUGGUGAUAGAAGACAGCCAGGCAUUUUACAAAUAGCCUCUGAGUCAGCUUUGUAAUUUUGGAACAGAAUGGGUUUUAUUGCCUUUCCAGACACAAGGCUGCAAAAUCAAUUUAGAAAAUAAUUUAUUUUACAGUUAAAAUAUAUGGUAGUUUAAAGGUGUCUGCUUAUUUGGUUCAUCAGUCUAAUUGUUAAAGUCUGCUGUUGUUUAGAAAAGGAAACAUAAAAUGGACAAGUAUAUGGCCAGCUUGUGGUCUAGCAGAAACUGCUUCUCUAGCAGUAAUACCAAAGUAAAUAGUGGAGUCUUCUCUAGCAGAUCUGCAGUAUAAGAAAACAUUGUCUUUUCUUAGACUCUCCGAUCUCAGUCCUCAUAUAUUGCCCAUUAAUGUUUUGCCUUUCAUUACAUAGGUCUUAGUCUUAGUGUAGAUUAACUCAGAGUGGUAACUGUUUCCAAAGCAGCAGCCAUAUUAAAUUCUAUAUAUUUAGAUAUUAGAUUCUCUAUAGAGAAUCUUCCUAUAGUUGACAUUAAUUGCCAGAAAUAACUAUAUACUACUUUGAGAAGAAGACAGUCAAAAAUAAAGUUCUGAUGUGGGAUGAAACUGAAAAAUCCAGUAAUAUUUGUAAACUUGAGUGAAAAGAGUUACAGACCAACUGAAAAAUCAAUUUGUUUCAAUAAAGUGACUUUGGGGGGUAAUGAUCAUUGUUUUGUAUUUCUGAAGUAUUGAGUUUAGAAAUCAGUUGUAUAAUAAUGCUUUUGUAUAUUUGUCUUUUCCCUUGUAUUUUUAAACCAGUAAUCUAUAUAAAUAAAUUUUUCUUUCAUGUAAGAUUCUUGCAAAUUUCCAAAUUGAGUCAGCAAUGUCAUAGUUAUUUUUCAAGGUUUUUUUAAGCAACUGAAUUUGUAAAAUUAAUGUAGUUAAAAAUACUCCUUUUUCUUUAUAUUAAAGACUUACAUUUUUUGCACAGACUUCAGAAAUAGAAGUCUACUUCUGUUAAUACAGGCCUUCUGCUUUUUUCCCCACUUUUUACGCUUCAAUGUUUUAAAAAUAUUCAGAUAUUUGAGGGCUCACUCUAGUAUAGGUAUUGUUUUAAGUAUUGUGUCUAGGGCAGCCCUGGUGGCCCAGCAGUUUAGCAUCGCCUUCAGCCCAGGGUGUGAUCCUGGAGACUAGGGAUCGAGUCCCACGUUGGGCUCCCUGCAUGGAGCUUGUUUCUCCCUUUGCCCUGUGUCUCUGCCUCUCUUUCUCUCUCUCUCUGUGCCUCUCACAAAUAAAUAAAAUCUUUUUUAAAAAUAAGUAUUUGGCUAUAGUUUGUAAGCAAGACAAACCAAAUCUUUUCCCAUAUAAGCUUACGUUCAAAUUGGAGAUCAGGUAAAAAAAUGAACCAAAACAUAGUAUUUCAUGUAGUGAUAAAUGCCAUGGGAAAAAAAUUAAGCAGGUAAAAGGCAGGGGAGCAUACCUCAGAAGGGUCUUCCCUAAUAUUCCUAAGGUUAUUUUUGGGCUAGAAAGGAGUAAUAAGAAGGAUGAGAAUGGUAACAAAUGAGUUCAGAGAAGUAGGUAAGAGUCAGAUCAUAUAGGCCUCUUUGGCCAAAGUAAUAAGCAAAUUUUCUUCUAAGCUAGACAAAGCCAUUGGAUAGUUUUACAUAAAUGAUUAAAGGGAUCUGAUUUUUUUUUUCUUUUAAGUUUACUGGCUAAUGCUGAGAAUAAAGUAUACGUGAAUAGGAAGGAGGAAGAAUAGUUGGGAAACUACUACAGGCAAGAGGUAGCUCAGACUAGGGGAAUGGCUGAUAGAGUGGUUGGGAAGUGGUCAAAUUUGGGAUACGCUUUUUUGUUCCUUUUUUUUUAAGAUUUUAUUUAUUUAUUCAUGAGAGAGAGAGGUUGAGGGAGAAACAGGCUCCAUGCAGGGAGCCUGACGUGGGACUCCCACAAAGUCCUGGGACUUUAGGAUCACGCCCUGGGCUGAAGGCAGGUGCUAAACCACUGAGCCACCCAAGGAUCUCUACUUUUUUGUUCUUAACACCCAGGUGAACUUCCAAUUUCUCAAGUUUGUACAGUUUAAUGUAAAAAAAAAAAAAUAAUUUUUCUAAAAAUAAAAUCUAUUAUGACUAUUACUUGGAACAAAACUAAUUGCUAUGCUAUAAUGGCUCCUAAUUUCAAGUCAGGAUACAAUGGCAGUUUCCUUUUUUUUUUUUUUUUUUUUUUACAAUGGCAGUUUCUAAAUGUGCAUGAGCUCAGAAGUGCCACUAAUUUUAGCAUUCAUUGGUGAAUUUUCCGUGCAACAAAGAUUACUGUGGAGUUCCAUGGUGGUUUUCUUCUUUCCUGUUCCUUCUACAUUUAUUGGAAUUCUCUAAGGAUGAUUUUUUUUUUCCUUUUCCUUAUAUUCAAUCUUUUUUUUUUUUUAAGAUUUUAUUUACUUAUUCAUGAGAGACAGAAAGAGGAAGAGACACAGGCAGAUGGAGAAGCAGGCCCCAUGCUGAGAGCCCGAUGUGGGACUUGAUCCCAGGACCCAGGACCAUACCCUGGGCUAAAGGCAGGCACCAAACCAUUGAGCCACCCAGUGAUCCUUCAUUCGUAUUAUUUUGGACUUACAGAUACCUUAUUCUUUGGUUUACAAUUCAUUAUUAUCAUUAUUAAUCUAUUUUUCAAAUGGUUCUCCAGAUUUUGCCAUUCGAAGUCAAAGUUCCCAGUGUUAAUUUCCAAGUUGGUUUCUGUAUCUUUUUGACCUGUCUCUCCUUUUUUUCUUAAGUGUAGAACUAUGUGUUUUAGGUUUAUGGCACUAUAGUCUUCUAAACUGUAAAUAUCCUAAGGGGCAUAAUAAUAUUUCCUUAACUAAUACCUUAGUAUGAAUUAGUAUUCCUUAGUAUUAGUAUUUCCUUAACUAAUACCUUAGUAUGUAUUAGCCUUAUGGAGUUGCAUGAUGCUAACAGUUGGAAAAGACCUUAGAGGCUAUAUAAUUUAAAUUCCUUAAUCUUACCUUGAAUUUUUAUUAACCAUCACACCUUCACUCAGUUCUGUGUUAGUGCUAAUAAAGGAAGACUUCUUAAAAUAUAUAUAUAUGUGUGUGUGUGUGUGUGUGAAGUUUGGGCAGAAGGGCAGUACUGAUCCCACUUGUGGCCCAUUUCUUCUCUGCAGACACAUUUCUGUUUUCCAAACCUGUUGCCAUCCUUCAGCUAUAAGGACUGAGAGAACCAUGGUCUGACAACAGAGGAGUACUCAGAGGUACUUGUUCAGGGGUGUGAGGGAGGGACAGGACAGUUAGCUGUGGGAGAAAGCUGGAUGUUUUGAUAAAGAGAAGGGCUGGGGCUGUUUUCCCUGGGCUUUCUGGUUUGCAAGAUAGAAGUCUGUUAGUUGGGAAGCUCCAUGGAAGCUUUCUAGUUGUGAUCUGAAACUAGCCCCUCCUUGGGGGGCAGGGAGAGACCCAGGAAAGAGGGAAGCUGGUGGUGUUCCCAAGCAAAGGAGGCUCACAGGUGAGGCUCUUCCCAGGUGGUGGCAGAAUGAGUAGAUACCCACACCCACCAGCCAGAUCUGAAAAGUAAUGUAGAGG